rnacentral:tRNA from 4 species
GGGCUAUUAGCUCAGUGGUAGAGCGCGCCCCUGGGGCGAGGUCUCUGGUUCAAGUCCAGGAUGGCCCA